rnacentral:lncRNA from 1 species
AGAAGGACGGUACAGUGCACGAGGUGGUGGUGGGUCGGCGGGGAUCGAUGGAGCGCUGUCGGGCCCGACGAAGAUGCGUGCGCAUAGGCGCGCGAGGCCUAGUGCCCGAGUGAGACCAGUGCGAGCGCACAUGCGGGCCGGCCCAGCGCGUGCGGGCACUCAGGCCAGCAUCUUUGUGCGGUCCACCGUGAACCACAGGGUGCUGGCGAUCCAUGGCAUUGCGUGGACCAAAGUCGCGGUCCACGCAUGGUUCAGACUGCUUUUUGCACGAUCGAAGGGCCCAAAUCGUAGCUGGUCAAGAUCGGAUAGCUGAGGAUGAUUUUGAGUUUGAUCAGGCUUGAUCAGAAACUGUUUUGCCGGAUCAGAUGGCUCUGGUAUGAGUUGAUCAC